rnacentral:rRNA from 1 species
UACGAAGGGGGCUAGCGUUGCUCGGAAUCACUGGGCGUAAAGCGCACGUAGGCGGCUUUUUAAGUCAGGGGUGAAAUCCUGGAGCUCAACUCCAGAACUGCCUUUGAUACUGGGGAUCUUGAGUCCGGAAGAGGUGAGUGGAACUCCGAGUGUAGAGGUGAAAUUCGUAGAUAUUCGGAAGAACACCAGUGGCAAAGGCGGCUCACUGGUCCGGUACUGACGCUGAGGUGCGAAAGCGUGGGGAGCAAACAGG